CGAGGGACUCGGCGAAAUUGCAAGACUCGUGAAGAUGCGAGUUACCCGCGGCUAGACGAAAAGACCCCGUGAAGCUUUACUGUAGCUUGGUCUUGGGGUAGGGCAUGGAAUGUUUAGCGUAGGUGGGAGUCCCGCGCAAGCGGGACGACAAUGAAACACCACCCUUUCUAUAUUUUACUCCUUACCUUUGCGCCUGAAUCGACGCAGAGGAACAGGGCCUGGUAGGCAGUUUAUCUGGGGCGGAUGCCUC
rnacentral:rRNA from 1 species